rnacentral:rRNA from 1 species
CGGUGGAUGCCUUGGCACUAGAAGCCGAUGAAGGACGUUACUAACGACGAUAUGCUUUGGGGAGCUGUAAGUAAGCUUUGAUCCAGAGAUUUCCGAAUGGGGAAACCCAGCAUGAGUUAUGUCAUGUUAUCGAUAUGUGAAUACAUAGCAUAUCAGAAGGCACACCCGGAGAACUGAAACAUCUUAGUACCCGGAGGAAGAGAAAGAAAAUUCGAUUCCCUUAGUAGCGGCGAGCGAAACGGGAAGAGCCCAAACCAACAAGCUUGCUUGUUGGGGUUGUAGGACACUCUAUACGGAGUUACAAAGGACGACAUUAGACGAAUCAUCUGGAAAGAUGAAUCAAAGAAGGUAAUAAUCCUGUAGUCGAAAAUGUUGUCUCUCUUGAGUGGAUCCUGAGUACGACGGAG